CAUUAAGUGGCUGAAAUAUAAGCCCUGGUCUCUUAAACCACAAUAUGGUAAUUAAUAACUACCCUUAAUGA
rnacentral:tRNA from 1 species